UCAGGAAAACUUGCGUUACAAUCUUUUUCGGUAUAUUCAAAAUUAGCGCUGAAACAAAUAAAGUUGGGAAUAAUUUUUCACUUUCUAAUAACGCUUAAAAUAUUAGUUAAUAUGUUUUGUUGUUUGUUGUUUUAUCUUUUAGUUCUUUAAGAAUAAUAUUAAUUAAUAAACUGUUAUUAGUCAAAACCCCGUUUAUAAAAUAACGCUGGUCAGGGAAAGUAAUUGUUUCGGUCUAUGAUAUUGUUUGUUCUAUAGUUAUCGUUCGUGCAAACGGUGGCGCUGUUUGGAAAAUUUGAAAACAACACGAUUGGCAAUUUAUUUGGAUUUCGGAGAUUUUACCAUCCUGGUCCUGGUUGAAAUUUAGAGUAUUGCAGCUGUAGCCUGAAUACCAUACAUUCAGCAUGAAAAGGACUGUCAGGAUGCUGCAUAAAAUGGUCUUAGCUAGAGCCUAGAAUGUUAAUUUCUUGGGAAUAUGCUGCAAGGAACUGACGGGGAGCAGUUUUUCUUACCAAUCAUAGAAGCAGUAAGAGACAGCCAAAGAAGUACUCAAACACUUGACAUACCCUGAAAGAUCUAGAAGAAAAGAUUGGAACAGAUUGUAGUUUAAUUGUUUAAACUAUUAAAGUGAAUUUAAGCUGCACUUGAACUGUUUUUUUGAAAUAAAAUAUUUGAAGUAUUUAAUUUUGUCUUGAU